AUGAACUCUGCAUGAGGUUGUUGAUCAGCUCUGCAGUGUUGCAUUCUGGGAGUUUCCUAAUUCCACAUAUUUUCUCUGUGCUUUCUCCCUUCCAAGCACUUACUAGGCCAGACCCUGUUUAACUUCUGAGAUCAGACAUGGGGUGCAUUCAGUGUGGUAUGACGACAGACUGCCUGCUUUUACUUCUAAAGAUAUGACAAGCAGUGGCUUCUGAUGGGGAGACAAGGCCACUUUUGACUGACAGUGUCAUCGUACAUCACAGAUAUCAGUGGAAACCAAAGGCUGUCACUUCUUUCCAAACUGCUUCACUGAAGGGGAGAUGUAUAUGCUGCUAGUAUCAUGACACAAAGCACAGUGUCCAUCGAGUUCAGUAUGAAAUCCUGCUAAGAAAAAUCUUCUGGACCCAGGUGAAAGUGCAGGGUGAGCUUGUUGAAAUAACUCCUGCUAACAUGAAGAGCUAUGAACUUCAACCACGAUUGCAUGGAGCCAUCUAAUGAACAAGUGUGGGCUAGGUGUCCACCCAGGCCAGGAUGAAAAUGGCAAGUCGGGCACGUAGAGAAACCGAGAGAACACCAUGGGAAGAUUGGAAUCAUGUAACCAAAGAAAUGCCAAGGGUGACCAGGCGCAGAACUAUCAGAAUUCAGGAAAAAUGAUGGCCCUCCACAGCCCCCAGACUCAACCAGCCUUGUUGACACCAGGCUACAGUAUGGACCUCCAGCAUCCAGAACUGUGGGAUAUGGAGCCUGUGGGUUUGACGCCACAGCAGGACGUGAUGAUCAAGCUGUGCUGUAGAGACGCGUCAUGUUAGUUUCCUUGUCCAGGCUGACACAAACUAGAAACAUCCGGGAAGACGGAAUCUCAAUUGAGCCAUUGCUGCCGUCCGAUUGGCCUGUAGGCAUGUCUGUGGAACUCUUUAAAUUGCUAAAUGAGGUAGGGAGCCCAGCCCACUGUGAUCUGUGUGGUGGUAUUGUGUUCCCCAAAAUAUUGUGCACCCUAAUAAACUUAUCUGGGGUCAGAGAACAGAACAGCCACUAGAUACAGAGGCCAGAAAAUGGUGGCACACACACCUUUAAUCCUAGCAUUCCAAAGGCAGAGAUCCCUCUGGAUCUCUGAAUUUAAAGCCACACUGGAAACAUCCAGGCAUGGUGACCCACGCCUUUAAUCCCAGGGAGUGAUGGCAGAAAGCAGAAAGGUAUUUAAGGCUUGAAGACCAAAAACUAGAAGCUUUUGGCCUGGUUAAGCUUUUAGGCUUUUGAGCAGCAGUUCAGCUGAGAUCCAUUUGGAUAAGGACUCAGAGGCUUCCAGUCUGAGGAAACAGGAUCAGCUCAGGAAUUGGCAAGGUGAGGUUAGCUGUGGCUUGUUCUGCUUCUCUGAUCUUCCAGCAUUCAACCCAA